UCGGAUAUGGUGUAACGGCUAACAUUGCCGCCUCUCAUCGUGCGUGCUUUCCAUGCUUGAUACGCGGCAGCUCGGGGUUCGAUUCCCCGUAUCCGAA